GAAGGUAGGCAUAGUCUGGCCUAAUGCAUCUGUUUUGGGAACAGAACGAUCAAAGGUUCAAAUCCUUUUUUCUUCC
rnacentral:tRNA from 1 species